CACGUAGGGGCCAAGCGUUGUCCGGAUUUAUUGGGCGUAAAGAGCUCGUAGGCGGUUGGGUAAGUCGGGUGUGAAAACUCCAGGCUCAACUUGGAGACGCCACCCGAUACUGCUCUGACUUGAGUUCGGUAGGGGAGUGGGGAAUUCCUGGUGUAGCGGUGAAAUGCGUAGAGCUCGGGAAGAACAUCGGUGGCGAAAGCGCUCUGCUGGACUGCAACUGACACUCAGGGACGAAAGCUAGGGGAGCGAAUGGG
rnacentral:rRNA from 1 species